UACGAAGGGGGCUAGCGUUGCUCGGAAUUACUGGGCGUAAAGGGCGCGUAGGCGGUGCGGUAAGUCACCUGUGAAAUCUCCUGGCUCAACUGGGAGCUUGCAGGCGAAACUGCCGUGCUGGAGUGUGGGAGAGGUGCGUGGAAUUCCUGGUGUAGCGGUGAAAUGCGUAGAUAUCAGGAGGAACACCUGUGGCGAAAGCGGCGCACUGGACCACAACUGACGCUGAGGCGCGAAAGCUAGGGGAGCAAACAGG
rnacentral:rRNA from 1 species